GGGGGUAUAGCUCAGUUGGGAGAGCGCUUGCAUGGCAUGCAAGAGGUCAGCGGUUCAAUCCCGCUUAUCUCCACCA
rnacentral:tRNA from 1 species